CACACAGGUAAAUAAACAGACCCGUCAAUAAACAGACAGACAGGUAAAUAAACACACAGGUAAAUAAACAGACCGACAGGUAAAUAAACACACAGGUAAAUAAACAGACAGGUAAAUAAACAGACAGACAGGUAAAUAAACAGACCGACAGGUAAAUAAACAGACCCAUCACUAAACAGACAGACAGGUAAAUAAACACACAGGUAAAUAAACAGACCGACAGGUAAAUAAACAGACAGGUCAAUAAACAGACAGACAGGUAAAUAAACUGACAGGUCAAUAAACAGACAGACAGGUAAAUAAACAGACAGAUCAAUAAACAGAGAGACAGGUAAAUAAACAGACAGGUAAAUAAACAGACAGACAGAUAAAUAAACAGACAGAUCAAUAAACAGACAGACAGAUAAAUAAACACAGGUAAACAAACAGACAGGUAAAUAAACAGACAGAUCAAUAAACAGAGAGACAGGUAAAUAAACAGACAGGUCAAUAAACAGACAGACAGGUAAAUAAACAGACAGGUAAAUAAACAGACAGGUCAAUAAACAGACAGGUAAAUAAAAAGACAGAUCAAUAAACAGAGAGACAGUUAAAUAAACAGAUAAAUAAAUAAACAGACAGACAGAUAGAUAGACAUACAGACAGACAGAUAAAUAAACAGACAGACAGAUAGAUAGACAUACAGACAGACACACAGAUAAAUAAACAGACAGACAGACAGAUAGACAUACAGACAGACAGAUAAAUAAACAGACAGACAGAUAGAUAGACAUACAGACAGACAGACACACAGAUAAAUAAACAGACAGACAGAUAGACAUACAGACAGACAGAUAAAUAAACAGACAGACAGAUAGAUAGACAUACAGACAGACAG
ensembl:lncRNA